rnacentral:rRNA from 1 species
AACGAACGCUGGCGGCAUGCCUAACACAUGCCAGUCGAACGAGACCUUCGGGUCUAGUGGCGCACGGGUGCGUAACGCGUGGGAAUCUGCCCUUGGGUUCGGAAUAACAGUGAGAAAUUACUGCUAAUACCGGAUGAUGUCUUCGGACCAAAGAUUUAUCGCCCAGGGAUGAGCCCGCGUAGGAUUAGCUAGUUGGUGGGGUAAUGGCCUACCAAGGCGACGAUCCUUAGCUGGUCUGAGAGGAUGAUCAGCCACACUGGGACUGAGACACGGCCCAGACUCCUACGGGAGGCAGCAGUGGGGAAUAUUGGACAAUGGGCGCAAGCCUGAUCCAGCAAUGCCGCGUGAGUGAUGAAGGCCUUAGGGUUGUAAAGCUCUUUUACCCGGGAUGAUAAUGACAGUACCGGGAGAAUAAGCUCCGGCUAACUCCGUG